GAAGCAAUGGAUAAGUGAUGUCAUGUUCAAUUGGAGAUGUAAAUUGUUACUGAAGUGUGUGAAGUUAUGAGUAUGACCACUUAUUUAUGAGAGGAAACUUAUGAAGUAAUUUAGAUGCUCAAAAAGGCUUUCUCAUGACGUUCUUAUUCUAUUGCUUAAAAUGUAUGUUAUGCCCUCAGGGAGUAAUACCACUCUUGCUAUGUUAGAAUAUGAUGAUAUUGCUGAUUUGGUUAUUACAAUAUUGCAUUUUCUGUUUCUGUUUCAAGUUAGGGAAACAAUGUGAUAAUUGUUAUCUUUGUGCAUAGUGAAUCUUUUUUGUUGGAAUGAAGUGGGACUCAUUUUGGAAUUACCAAGUUUUCUUUGCUACCAGGGUACUUAUCUCUUCCAUAAUGGAUCUCACAAAAUUAUAUCUUUCAUUCAUCAAAGAUUUGAUAGGUUUUUGUUUGCACUUUUGACCUCUUCCAUAAUGGAUCUUAUAAAAUUAUAUC
rnacentral:lncRNA from 1 species